rnacentral:rRNA from 1 species
UACGUAGGGGGCAAGCGUUAUCCGGAAUUACUGGGUGUAAAGGGAGCGUAGACGGUGAUGCAAGUCUGGAGUGAAAGGCGGGGGCCCAACCCCCGGACUGCUCUGGAAACUGUAUGACUUGAGUGCAGGAGAGGUAAGCGGAAUUCCUAGUGUAGCGGUGAAAUGCGUAGAUAUUAGGAGGAACACCAGUGGCGAAGGCGGCUUACUGGACUGGUAAACUGACGUGAGGCUUCGGAAAAGCGUGGG